rnacentral:rRNA from 1 species
GGUUAAGCGACUAAGCGUACACGGUGGAUGCCCUGGCAGUCAGAGGCGAUGAAGGACGUGCUAAUCUGCGAUAAGCGUCGGUAAGGUGAUAUGAACCGUUAUAACCGGCGAUUUCCGAAUGGGGAAACCCAGUGUGUUUCGACACACUAUCAUUAACUGAAUCCAUAGGUUAAUGAGGCGAACCGGGGGAACUGAAACAUCUAAGUACCCCGAGGAAAAGAAAUCAACCGAGAUUCCCCCAGUAGCGGCGAGCGAACGGGGAGCAGCCCAGAGCCUGAAUCAGUGUGUGUGUUAGUGGAAGCGUCUGGAAAGGCGUGCGAUACAGGGUGACAGCCCCGUACACAAAAAUGCACAUGCUGUGAGCUCGAUGAGUAGGGCGGGACACGUGGUAUCCUGUCUGAAUAUGGGGGGACCAUCCUCCAAGGCUAAAUACUCCUGACUGACCGAUAGUGAACCAGUACCGUGAGGGAAAGGCGAAAAGAACCCCGGCGAGGGGAGUGAAAAAGAACCUGAAACCGUGUACGUACAAGCAGUGGGAGCACGCUUAGGCGUGUGACUGCGUACCUUUUGUAUAAUGGGUCAGCGACUUAUAUUCUGUAGCAAGGUUAACCGAAUAGGGGAGCCGAAGGGAAACCGAGUCUUAACUGGGCGUUAAGUUGCAGGGUAUAGACCCGAAACCCGGUGAUCUAGCCAUGGGCAGGUUGAAGGUUGGGUAACACUAACUGGAGGACCGAACCGACUAAUGUUGAAAAAUUAGCGGAUGACUUGUGGCUGGGGGUGAAAGGCCAAUCAAACCGGGAGAUAGCUGGUUCUCCCCGAAAGCUAUUUAGGUAGCGCCUCGUGAAUUCAUCUCCGGGGGUAGAGCACUGUUUCGGCAAGGGGGUCAUCCCGACUUACCAACCCGAUGCAAACUGCGAAUACCGGAGAAUGUUAUCACGGGAGACACACGGCGGGUGCUAACGUCCGUCGUGAAGAGGGAAACAACCCAGACCGCCAGCUAAGGUCCCAAAGUCAUGGUUAAGUGGGAAACGAUGUGGGAAGGCCCAGACAGCCAGGAUGUUGGCUUAGAAGCAGCCAUCAUUUAAAGAAAGCGUAAUAGCUCACUGGUCGAGUCGGCCUGCGCGGAAGAUGUAACGGGGCUAAACCAUGCACCGAAGCUGCGGCAGCGACGCUGAUGCGUUGUUGGGUAGGGGAGCGUUCUGUAAGCCUGCGAAGGUGUGCUGUGAGGCAUGCUGGAGGUAUCAGAAGUGCGAAUGCUGACAUAAGUAACGAUAAAGCGGGUGAAAAGCCCGCUCGCCGGAAGACCAAGGGUUCCUGUCCAACGUUAAUCGGGGCAGGGUGAGUCGACCCCUAAGGCGAGGCCGAAAGGCGUAGUCGAUGGGAAACAGGUUAAUAUUCCUGUACUUGGUGUUACUGCGAAGGGGGGACGGAGAAGGCUAUGUUGGCCGGGCGACGGUUGUCCCGGUUUAAGCGUGUAGGCUGGUUUUCCAGGCAAAUCCGGAAAAUCAAGGCUGAGGCGUGAUGACGAGGCACUACGGUGCUGAAGCAACAAAUGCCCUGCUUCCAGGAAAAGCCUCUAAGCAUCAGGUAACAUCAAAUCGUACCCCAAACCGACACAGGUGGUCAGGUAGAGAAUACCAAGGCGCUUGAGAGAACUCGGGUGAAGGAACUAGGCAAAAUGGUGCCGUAACUUCGGGAGAAGGCACGCUGAUAUGUAGGUGAGGUCCCUCGCGGAUGGAGCUGAAAUCAGUCGAAGAUACCAGCUGGCUGCAACUGUUUAUUAAAAACACAGCACUGUGCAAACACGAAAGUGGACGUAUACGGUGUGACGCCUGCCCGGUGCCGGAAGGUUAAUUGAUGGGGUUAGCGCAAGCGAAGCUCUUGAUCGAAGCCCCGGUAAACGGCGGCCGUAACUAUAACGGUCCUAAGGUAGCGAAAUUCCUUGUCGGGUAAGUUCCGACCUGCACGAAUGGCGUAAUGAUGGCCAGGCUGUCUCCACCCGAGACUCAGUGAAAUUGAACUCGCUGUGAAGAUGCAGUGUACCCGCGGCAAGACGGAAAGACCCCGUGAACCUUUACUAUAGCUUGACACUGAACAUUGAGCCUUGAUGUGUAGGAUAGGUGGGAGGCUUAGAAGUGUGGACGCCAGUCUGCAUGGAGCCGACCUUGAAAUACCACCCUUUAAUGUUUGAUGUUCUAACGUUGACCCGUAAUCCGGGUUGCGGACAGUGUCUGGUGGGUAGUUUGACUGGGGCGGUCUCCUCCUAAAGAGUAACGGAGGAGCACGAAGGUUGGCUAAUCCUGGUCGGACAUCAGGAGGUUAGUGCAAUGGCAUAAGCCAGCUUGACUGCGAGCGUGACGGCGCGAGCAGGUGCGAAAGCAGGUCAUAGUGAUCCGGUGGUUCUGAAUGGAAGGGCCAUCGCUCAACGGAUAAAAGGUACUCCGGGGAUAACAGGCUGAUACCGCCCAAGAGUUCAUAUCGACGGCGGUGUUUGGCACCUCGAUGUCGGCUCAUCACAUCCUGGGGCUGAAGUAGGUCCCAAGGGUAUGGCUGUUCGCCAUUUAAAGUGGUACGCGAGCUGGGUUUAGAACGUCGUGAGACAGUUCGGUCCCUAUCUGCCGUGGGCGCUGGAGAACUGAGGGGGGCUGCUCCUAGUACGAGAGGACCGGAGUGGACGCAUCACUGGUGUUCGGGUUGUCAUGCCAAUGGCACUGCCCGGUAGCUAAAUGCGGAAGAGAUAAGUGCUGAAAGCAUCUAAGCACGAAACUUGCCCCGAGAUGAGUUCUCCCUGACCCUUUAAGGGUCCUGAAGGAACGUUGAAGACGACGACGUUGAUAGGCCGGGUGUGUAAGCGCAGCGAUGCGUUGAGCUAACCGGUACUAAUGAACCGUGAGGCUUAACCUU